rnacentral:lncRNA from 1 species
UUAGAAUGAUCUAAUGAAAACAUGGACUCCCCAUAUUCACAGCAGAGAAGUUUUUCACAUUGAACACAGACCAGAGAAGUGUUUCCACUAAUUUAUAGGAUGAAAAAAAAAAAAAAACUACUGCCUUUCAUUUCUCUACUCUUCCGACAACUCUGAGAACAAUGGUUCCUGAGAGUGACAAUAUCUGAGGAAAGAGCAGGUCCUGCAACCAACGAGAAAUUCUCCUGCAGCAUUUCAAAGCAGGCAAGAUGGAGAGUAUUUGAGCGGUCAAAUAGAGGAUAUGAGAAGAAAAAAAGAAUAACUUCUAUGUGGAAAAUGAUUCUUAAAUUUGUUUGCAUAUGGACAAACUCUGCCAUUGCACCUAACAUCCUAUGGACCAAAGUCCUGUGGAAUUUCCACAUAAAAAUAAAUGGAAAGUUGCCCAUGUCUGAAGAAGAAAAUAUAUUUGAGAAGUACUGUGAAUAAAGAACAGUGUUUUUCUAUGUUGAUUCAAAGAUGGUAUUUUGGUGGCUGGAAGAACGUUAGCUGCAAUAAAAUAUUAACUAUUUUCAAUCCACCAAGUUUGGCGCAUUAAUUUUGAAUAUUGGAGAAAUACUAUGCAACAAGCAUGUGAAGACAUGGGUAUGGAAUAUUUAAAGAAAGAAGGUUUUAUCUAAAGGUGGAAACGUGUGGGUCUCCAGUAAAAGAUGACGAAUGGAACUACAGAAAUGGACAAGAUCAUUAAAGAAGAACAGUAAUAGAAGAGAGAAUUGUUAUGAAGACUAAAUAGGAUACUAUAUCAAUGCAUUUCAUACUAUAUCAGAUACAUAAUAUAUGUUCAAUAAAAUGAUAGUUUUUCCCUUUCCUUUGCCUUAUAAAUAAAAUGUCUGCCAUUUAUCUCUUGCAGUGAGACAAGGGAUAAUCUUAAAAAUAUUUUAACCUAAAAUAAAUAUUCUUCAAUUUGU